rnacentral:sRNA from 1 species
CACAAUUCUAAUCGCGAAGCACCAGUA